rnacentral:rRNA from 1 species
ACACUCUCAGUAACGAAGCUAACGCGUGAAGUCGACCGCCUGGGGAGUACGGCCGCAAGGUUAAAACUCAAAGGAAUUGACGGGGACCCGCACAAGCGGUGGAUUAUGUGGAUUAAUUCGAUGCAACGCGAAAAACCUUACCUACCCUUGACAUGUCCGAGAGCCGCGAGAGAUCGCGGUGUGCCCGAAAGGGAAUCGGAACACAGGUGCUGCAUGGCUGUCGUCAGCUCGUGUCGUGAGAUGUUGGGUUAAGUCCCGCAACGAGCGCAACCCUUGUCAUUAGUUGCUACAUUCAGUUGGGCACUCUAAUGAGACUGCCGGUGACAAACCGGAGGAAGGUGGGGAUGACGUCAAGUCCUCAUGGCCCUUAUGGGUAGGGCUUCACACGUAAUACAAUGGCGCGUACAGAGGGUUGCCAAGGAGCGAUCUGGAGCCAAUCCCGAAAAGCGCGUCGUAGUCCGGAUUGCAGUCUGCAACUCGACUGCAUGAAGUCGGAAUCGCUAGUAAUCGCGGAUCAGCAUGUCGCGGUGAAUACGUUCCCGGGUCUUGUACACACCGCCCGUCACACCAUGGGAGUG